rnacentral:rRNA from 1 species
AUUGAACGCUGGCGGCAGGCCUAACACAUGCAAGUCGAGCGGAGCGGCGGACGGGUGAGUAAUGCCUAGGAAUCUGCCUGGUAGUGGGGGAUAACGUCCGGAAACGGGCGCUAAUACCGCAUACUAUCAGAUGAGCCUAGGUCGGAUUAGCUAGUUGGUGGGGUAAAGGCCUACCCAGGCGACGAUCCGCAACUGGUCUGAGAGGAUGAUCAGUCACACUGGAACUGUGACACGGUCCAGAAUCCUACGGGAGGCAGCAGUGGGGAAGAUUGGACAAUGGGCGAAAGCCUGAUCCAGCCAGGCCGCGUGUGUGAAGAAGGUCUUCGGAUGGUAAAGCACGUUAAGUUGGGAGGCGGUACCAACAGAAUAAGCACCGGCGAACUUCUUGCCAGCCGCCGCGGUAAUAC